AGUCUGUUCCAAGAUAUAUACAUAUUAUAAAACAUUAUCGGAGAAAGUUCAACAAAUCGAUCUAUUCACUUGCUUAAAUUAUUAAAAAUAAAAGAUUACGAAAGAUUGAUUAUUAAGAAGAAAAGGAGAUAGAAAAAAGUAAUGAAAAACGGAGAAAAAAUUCUUAAUUGAUUCUUAUUUUUAAUCAAAAGACAUGAGAAUUGUAGAAGGAGUAAACUAUCAAUUCAAUUAACAUAUGUUAAAUCACUUCGAAUGAGGAAAAAUAUUAAAGGCCAACAGGCUUAGCAACGUGACGAGAACCUGUUACGUGAAAAGAAUCUAUUAGUCGUCAAAGUGAUCAUCAUCUGGCAACUCCUCGCGAAUUAUUUUUGUUCACUUUAAUCAAUUCAAAGAAUUUCCACAAGUUUCUUUCUUCGGGAUCAACGUUCCGUGAUCGUGAACAGUGAAGAUGUCUCCAAGGAUGUUUGUUAUCAAAUAUGAUCGAGCUGAUGUGACUUACUUGUCAGGAGAAUAUAUAACCGGUUAUGUGAUCAUCGAAUCGAAUGGGGGAAAAAAACAUAUUCGAGGAUUUUAUUUAAAAAAAAAAAAAAAACAACUAAAAUAAAAAUCCGUUCGAGUAAUGAUAUCUGAAUGAAACAAACGAAUUCCAGAUUUAACAGUACAUUUUAAAGGAAAAGCUUAUGCUUAUUGAGCGACAAUGGAAACAGUACAGGAUAUAAAACGAAAGUGAUAAUAAGCAUAAGUUAAUUCUAAUAAAUGUAAAAUUGUUCCAAUGAAAAAAAAUAAGAUUUAAAUUUAUUAAAAAUUCUCGUUUGAAAUAUAAAGAACGACGAGAUGAUACUUUUCGAUUAUCAAAAAACAUAUCGUAUAGUUUUCAAUAUAAAAUUGGAUAUAUUCGUCAUAUGACAAAAGCAAUGAUCGAUGUACCAUGGAAAUAGAAUUGAAACAUAAAAUCUACAUGUUGUCACAUCGUUCGAUUUGGAUCCGCUUUCGCAUAUAAUGUGUUAAUUAUUUUUUUCUUUUUUCUAAUUAAAAAAAAAAAAAAAAAAAAAAAAAAUAUAAAAAUGGAAUAUAAAAUUUUCGUUUCAGAUUGAAAUAGACGAAGAGACGUCAAAAAAUUUUUCGUUUUAUUACUUCGACGAAAGGAUCGAUAAAUGUCCAAAUAAAAAUACCAAAUUCAAGAUACGUUCUAGGGCAAACUAUUAUAUAAAGACCAAAGUAUUCAUAGUUGUAAAAUCAUCGAACGUUAAUGUAAUGAAAAUUUAUACGAAACUAGAAGAAGUGGAAGGUCUCACAAUAAAACAAAAAAUCAUGAUAGAAAAAAACCAAGUCGAAUUACCAAUUAGAACGCCAAUCAAACAAAACUGAAACUUCAUGUUCCAUUUCUUCAUGUUCCAUCAAUCUAAUUUCUAACAUUAUGAUAUUAUUGAAUUAGAAUAAUGGUUUAUAUAUAAACAUUCAUGUCAGUGGCAUGUGAAUUUAAAAUAAUUUUCGUUUCUUUUUUCAUUUUUUAACACGUUUCACAGGAUACAUUAAAAUAGUAAUAAAUUAACAAUACAGAAAUAAUAAACUAAAUGAGCACCACUAAUCAUAUAAACACGCAAUAUGUUAAAUAUAGAUAAUUACACGAUGUAUUACAAAAAUUUUUGUUUGAUGAAUGAUAACAUUUACGAACAGUUACAAAAAACUUUUAAAAGUCAAGAUAUGCGCAUUCAAUCAGUGGCCUUUUGCGAAGAGCUUAUAUUAAGCAUAUUAGAUUCUGAAACUAAAAUUUUGUUUCUAACGUGUUCUUUUUACUAAACUUAUAUAUAUAUACACACAUCUAUAACUGUGAUUUAAUUAAUUCAUACGCCGAUCAACUUGCCAUAGUUUUAAAAGUGAUAUUAGCAAAGGAUUCAUUAAAGGAUAUUAACAGAAGAAUAAGCUUUGAAGGAUAUAUUUGAAUAUUGAUUUAUCAAACAUGCAUCAAAGCUAGGACAUCGUGUUCACUGAAUAUUCAAAAAAUUGUUACAUGUGCGUGAUUUCUGAAAUAUUUAAUGAUAUACAUUUGUUUUGAAUUAAUUAAGCAAAAUGGAAAAUUAAUCUCAAGUACCCGAAUUAAGCAACAGUAUUGAGAAACUGUAUAUAAGCAUAAUUCGUUUAGUUCGUUGUAUAAAUAAUAAAGAACUUGAUUUUAAUGAAAAGAAAUAAGCGAUCGAAAAUUUAAUAUUAAUCGAUUUGUUAGGGAUAUACAACCUAAUAUGUAUAAAUUGUACAGAAAUUCGAGAGUACGUAGCACGACAAAUUUGUCAGAAAUUAAUAAAUCAGAAUAAAAUUAAGAACAAAGGCACGAUGCAAGAGGAUAUAUUAAAAGCAGUACAGACAAUCGAUUUACGAAAUCAUACGCUAUACAACAUAAACAACGACGAGUUAGAAUUUUCAGGAAAAAUUCUCUUAUUAAAAGACAUAAUUCUACCUUUCAAUGGCUGCGGCAAUUGUCCUGUUGAAACGUGACUGGAACCGUUCGAACGUAACCCAAGAUUAUUUAAUUUAUCGAACGCGGGUAAGCUUAUACUCACGAAGGAAUCAUUGACAGGAUUGGCCGCCACUUAGUUCGUCCAAAAAAAAAAAGACAAGACAUAUUUACCUGGGAAAAAUGGAAAUCGUUAUUAUUGAAAAAGUUUUCGGCUAAACCUGACAAUGUAAAUCUGCAAGACGAAUUACAACAAAGGAAGUAAUUCUUAAAAUUCCGUAAAAUUAAGGAAGGUGAAACGGUGAAGGACUAUUAUAUGAUUAUGAAGGAAAUUGGUUUAUAAGGGGAGAGGAGAUCGAAGAUAAGGACUUGAUCGAAUGCAUGAUUAAUGGCAUCAAGGAUGAUUCAAGUUGAAAAAUAGUAAUUAUAUAAAAGUGGCGAUCUUAAUUAGCUUAAAGUAAAACUCGAAAUUAACAAUUUGGUGAAGAAAAAGAAGACAGAUUCUAUGAUCGAUCAUCUACCGAUAGAUAAAAUUCAACCAAUAGCAUUAAUAAUUUAUUAAGAACCAUUUGGUGUCCAUUGUCAUAGAACUUAUGCCUAUAACAAUACCUAUAUUUGCUGAACCACCAAGGAAAGUAACUGAUUUAUCAGAAAUAUCUACACCUAAUUUCAAAGAAUCCCAAUUAACAAAAAAUCGAUCAAUAGGAUGGAAUAUGCAAUCUUCUUUUUAUGAAGAAUGUAUGCAUAAGGCUGAUAAUAUCGAGUACGAUGAUGAUUCGAAUUCCAUUUAUGAUGCAGAUCAGCCUUUUUCUCCAAGAUAUCCAGUUUUUUCAUUUGAUAAAUUCUCAUCCACCUAAGUAAACAAUUUUAGAUUAGAUUCUUUAAUUUCCGUUGGAUAUACUAAAUUUUUAAAUUAUAUGCCAUACACACCAAACAUAUAUAAAAUAUCGUAAAUAAAAUUAUGAUAAAAGUAAAAACGACAAAGCAACGACGCGUGUGCGAAAGUACAGAAUCUAUCUUGUAUAAUCUAUUCUCAGCACUUGGAUCAUGAUUAUUGUCUGUACAAUUAUUGUUAAGUUACACAUUAAUGUUUCUACAUUUAUAAUUGCUUAUAAUGACUAAUUAUGUAUAUGUAUAUACACAUACGUGUCCUCACAAUAAUAACUUACAUGCGUACAAA